rnacentral:lncRNA from 1 species
GUUUCUUCAGAGUCCAGAACCAAGAAAACAAAGAAAACACACACUGGAGGCCAUUUUUGUUGUACAGUUAAAUCUGAGGCUUCCUGGAUGACAGCUGAGCAUCCUAACCAGUGUGAGGAUCCUGUCAGCCCUGAGGGUGAUCAGCUGGACCCGGGGCAGCCAGAACUCCCAGCAAGCUAAUCACAUCCAGGAGGAUACAGCCUUUUCCAGAGCUCCAAGGAGGACUCCUCAGGCGCAGUGAGAGGUGGCCUCACAGUCCUUGCAGGAAAUGGGCCCAAUAAAUGUCAUCCUGCCCUCAGCACUGCCUAGACUCACUGAGUACAGCCCCAAACGAGCUCUACAACCCGACAUCCAUUCUGUUAGCCAACUGCAGACAGACCACUGCAGACAGCAGUUCAAACUGUUGGAGCUGUUGGAAGUCAGAAUCCUGGUGCCCAAGGAGCAUGGCAUACAAAGAUGCAGCUUCUUGAGUGUAAGGAAGCCAGGAAUCCAAGUUUAUGUAAAUUCAGAUGAAGAAAUGGAAUCCACAUCUUCAGAGAGCAUUAUACCUGAGACUUCAGAUGGUGCUCGGACAGAGGGAGACUUCCCCAAGCUGUAUUGCUAACACACAUAAUGUGAGCAAUGGGAAAAUGUAACUUCUUUAAAGAAUGCAGAGAGAUAAAUGUACCUCAAUUCUUAAAAUGUGCCUCAAUUCUUAAGAAAACUGAUGUUUGAUCUAAGAAAUGGAUAAAAGAGUUUAUUCACAUUGAAACAUCUGCCUUUGAGGCUAAGGUAAGUUAAAACUCUAGAUUCUGAAUAUAUGCAGGUUACAUAAGUAAAAUCUGCCUGAAGGCCACUUUAGUCGACACACCCAAUUUUAAGAAACAUCAUUUUGUACUAAAGAAAACAGUUUGCCUUUUUGAUCCCAUUCUUCUUUUUAUUCAGCUUACACUGGCUUUCUCAGCCAUGUCUGAACCUCUCCCUUCACCUACAUGGCACAAUGCCAGUCUUAUAUUCUACUCAAAUGGAAGAUAUUGCUGACUUGGAAUACAACUUUUUUGAAAACAAUAUACAUUCCCCACAUUCAUCAUCAGAUUGUAUGAAAACAGGAAAAGCUGUAUGAAACCCCAAACCCAGAGCAUG